rnacentral:rRNA from 1 species
UACGGGGGGGGGCAAGCGUUUGUUCGGAAUUACUGGGCGUAAAGGGCUCGUAGGCGGCCAACUAAGUCGGACGUGAAAUCCCCAGGCUCAACCUGGGAACUGCGUCCGAUACUGGAUGGCUUGAAUCCGGGAGAGGGAUGCAGAAUUCCAGGUGUAGCGGUGAAAUGCGCAGAUAUCAGGAGGAACACCGGUGGCGAAGGCGGGUCUCUGGGCCGUAACUGACGCUGGAGGAGCGAAAGCGUGGGGGAGCAAACAGG